rnacentral:rRNA from 1 species
UCACCUGUUUUUCAAAAACAUGUCUUAAAGAAUUUAAUUUUAAGUCAAAUCUGCUCAAUGAUAAAAUUUAAUAGCUGCAGUAUCUAUAACUGUACUAAGGUAGCAUAAUAAUUAGUUUUUUAAUUGAAAACUAGAAUGAAUGAUUUAAUGAAAAAUAAACUGUCUCAAAAUUAUUUAAUAAAUUUAUUCUUUAAGUAAAAAAAUUUAAAUUUAUAUUAAAGACGAGAAGACCCUAAAGAAUUUUUAUAUUUUUUUAUUAUUAAUUUAUUUUAUAAUAAAUAAAUUUAAUAUUUUAAUUGGGGAAAUUUUAAAAUUUAUUUAAUUUUUAAUUAAAUUCAAACAUUUAUUUUUGAAUAAAUUAAUUUUUUUUAAAAAUAUAAAUUUAAAUUACCUUAGGGAUAACAGCAUAAUUUUUUUUUAAAGUUCAAAUUUAUAAAAAAGUUUAUGACCUCG